UCCGUCGUGGUGUAAUCGGCAGCACCUCUGAUUUUGGUUCAGAUAGUUCAGGUUCGAGUCCUGGCGACGGAGCCA
rnacentral:tRNA from 3 species